rnacentral:rRNA from 1 species
ACAUGCCUACAACAUAGUGUUAAUGCACCGAAUCCCAUUAGAACUCCGCAGUUAAGCGCGCUCAAGAUAGAGUAGUAUUUGGAUGGGUGACCACCCGAGAAGUCCUAGUAUUUUACAUGCC